GACGGAGGAUGCAAGUGUUAUCCGGAAUCACUGGGCGUAAAGCGUCUGUAGGUGGUUUAAAAAGUCCACUGUUAAAGAUUGAAGCUUAGCUUCAAAAAUGCCGUGGAAACUUUUAAACUUGAGUAUGAUAGGGGUAGAGGGAAUUUCCAGUGGAGCGGUGAAAUGCGUAGAUAUUGGAAAGACCACCAAUGGCGAAGGCACUCUACUGGGCCAUUACUGACACUGAGAGACGAAAGCUAGGGGAGCAAAUGGG
rnacentral:rRNA from 1 species